rnacentral:snRNA from 1 species
GUACAGCUCCCUGUCAGCCAUCACAUAUACUAUUAAUAAAACAGAAAUGUUCCAGAGAAGAUUAGCAUGGCCUCUGCACAAGGAUGACAUGCAAAUUUGUGACGUGUCCAGUAUUUUU